AGGAAGGAAAAAAGAAAGAAAAAAGGACACAAUAUGUGGGGAGAUGGCCUCGCAGUUAAGAGCACUUGGGUUAAGUUCCUAGCACCCACAUGGUAGCUCACAGCUGUAACUCCAGCUCUAGAGAAUUUGAUACUGUCUUUUAACCUCCACAAGCACCAGGUAAUCACUUUAUUAUGACAUGGGCCACUUACUCAACUAAGCGGGGUUCACAUGGGCUCACAGAGACUGAAAAGCAAGCUCAGUGAAAAAGGAUGAAGACUCAUAUGAAAGCAGAAGUGAGAAAGACAGCCAGCUUACAGAUGCAGAUGUGGCACCACACAGCAGUCAAGCUUGAAAACAAAAGCCAUGAGGCGGCCCCAAGAAGGACCACAACUGAGCAGUAUGACAGCCAAUGUUCAUAAAAUGCACUUGACUCUGGAUUAUCAUAGAGUUAUAUAACAUUCCUCUAUAAGAAGCCUUCUCCCAUACAAGGAUUUAUAAACUUAGUAAGACUCAAGGAAGGAAACAGGCUUCUUGAUGGUGUUCUCAAUCUCAAACACCUCUCAAAUGCCAACAGUGCGAGUGAGUCAAAGCCAUGAUGGUUUGAACUAAAUCUACAUGACCAAAGGACAAUGGAAAUGAAGCUCUGGAGGCAGUGACAGACAAUGGGAACUGAGAAGUUGAUGGACAGCAGCUCUACCAGAGAUAAUAUU